CAGGGACACAACCAGAACAUCACAACGGGCACCAACCCCUGCCCUGGCAAAGGGCACAGCUCUGGGCUAGGUAAAGGACAUUUCCCUGUUUCAGUCACCUCUGGGACAUCAGGCAAGAGAAUAACAACAGGAACAGCCCCCAAAACCCGACUGCCAGGGUGCCUGUCACACACACUGAUCACAGCCCUUCCACAGGGCAUUUUUCUCUUUUCUUCUUUUCAUCUUUUUUUCUUCUUUCCUCUUUUUUCUCUCUUUUUUCCCCCCUUUUUUUCUCUUUUCUUUUUCUCUUUUCUCUUUUUUCUUUUUUCUCUUUCUCUUUUUUUCUCUUUUCUUUUUCUCUUUUCUCUUUUUUCUUUUUUCUCUUUCUCUUUUUUCUCUUUUUUUUUCUCUUUUCUCUUUUUUCUCUUUUCUCUUUCUCUUUUUUUCUCUUUUCUUUUUCUCUUUUCUCUUUUUUCUUUUUUCUCUUUCUCUUUUUUUCUCUUUUUUUUCUCUUUUCUCUUUUUUCUCUUUCUCUUUUUGCUCUUUUCUUUUUCUCUUUCUCUUUUUUCUUUUUCUCUUUUUUUCAUUUUCUCUUUUUUCUUUUUCUCUUUUCUUUUUCUCUCUCUCUUUUUUUCUUUUUUGCUUUUUUCUUUUUCGCUUUUUUCUUUUUCUCUUUUUUCUUUUUCUCUUUUUUUCUCUUUUUUCAUUUUCUCUUUUUUCUCUUUCUCUUUUUUCUUUUUUCCUUUUUCUCUUUUUUAUUUUCUUUUUUUCUUUUUCUCUUUUUUAAUUUUCUUUUUUCAUUUUCUUUUUUCUUUUUCUCUUUUUUCUUUUUCUUUUUUCCUUUUUCUCUUUUUUCAUUUUCUUUUUUUCUUUUUCUCUUUUUUAAUUUUCCUUUUCUCUUUUUUCUUUUUCUCUUUUUUCUUUUUCUCUUUUUUCUUUUUCUUUUUUCCUUUUUCUCUUUUUUCACUUUCUUUUUUUUUCUUUUUCUCUUUUUUCAUUUUCUCUUUUUUCUUUUUCUCUUUUUUAUUUUCUCUUUUUCUCUUUUUUCUUUUUCUCUUUUUUCUUUUUCUCUUUUUUUUCUUUUCUCUUUUUUUUCUUUUUCUCUUUUUUUUUUUCUUUUUCUCAUUUUUCCCCCCUCUUUUCUCAAGCAACACCUCACGGGACACCAUCAUCUUUACAUGCCCAGCACGUGAUACAAAAGCAACAACUAACCCUACACAAAUAAAGGCAACCAACAAAUCACAUCUGGUGGGUUCUGGCUGA
rnacentral:lncRNA from 1 species